GCCAAGGUGGCGGAGUGGUUAACGCGUCAGAUUGCUAAUCUGAUUCCCUCACGGGAGCACAGGUUCGAAUCCUGUCCUUGGCG
rnacentral:tRNA from 1 species